rfam:Felis catus isolate Cinnamon breed Abyssinian chromosome B2, whole genome shotgun sequence.
GCCUGGGUGGCUCAGUCGGUUGAGCGUCUGACUUCGACUCACAUCAUGAUUUCGUGGUUUGUGAGUUCGAACCCCACGUCGGGCU